AAAAGCGUAAACGGUAUACGAUGGACCCGCGUCUGAUUAGCUAGUUGGCGGGGUAGAGGCCCACCAAGGCGACGAUCAGUAGCCGGCCUGAGAGGGUGACCGGCCACAUUGGGACUGAGACACGGCCCAAACUCCUACGGGAGGCAGCAGUGGGGAAUAUUGCACAAUGGGGGGAACCCUGAUGCAGCGACGCCGCGUGAGUGAAGAAGUAUUUCGGUAUGUAAAGCUCUAUCAGCAGGGAAGAAAAUGACGGUACCUGACUAAGAAGCCCCGGCUAACUACGUGCCAGCAGCCGCGGUAAUACGUAGGGGGCAAGCGUUAUCCGGAUUUACUGGGUGUAAAGGGAGCGUAGACGGUUAUGCAAGUCUGAAGUGAAAGCCCAAGGCUCAACCAUGGGACUGCUUUGGAAACUGUAAAACUGGAGUGCAGGAGAGGUAAGCGGAAUUCCUAGUGUAGCGGUGAAAUGCGUAGAUAUUAGGAGGAACACCAGUGGCGAAGGCGGCUUACUGGACUGUAACUGACGUUGAGGCUCGAAGGCGUGGGGAGCAAACAGGAUUAGAUACCCUGGUAGUCCACGCGGUAA
rnacentral:rRNA from 1 species